UACGUAGGGUGCAAGCGUUAAUCGGAAUUACUGGGCGUAAAGGGUGCGUAGGCGGCCGUGUAAGUGUGGUGUGAAAUCUCCCGGCUUAACUGGGAGGGUGCGCUACAGACUGCAUGGCUAGAGUGUGGGAGAGGAAAGUGGAAUUCCUGGUGUAGCGGUGAAAUGCGUAGAUAUCAGGAGGAACACCGGUGGUGUAAACGGCUUUCUGGACCAUAACUGACGCUGAUGCGCGAAAGCGUGGGUAGCAAACAGG
rnacentral:rRNA from 1 species